AGUCGGAAAUGGGAACGGAGGCGGAAACAUGCAAAUAACAAUCCCCGCCCCUUAUUCUUCAUUGUAUUUCUUUAUUGGUUGUCCAGGUGGUACAAAAAAGUUUCACUUUCCUCCAGGAAGCCGGGCUGUUAUUUAGAGUGUCGAUACUUUCUUACCAGAGGAACUGCCAUGCAGAAGAAGAGAGAAGUGGGAAAUAAUAAACUAAAGAACUUGAAGGCAUGAGUUGCACAUUGUCUUUGAGAGCAAAUGAAGUGAUACGCAUUGACCCUCUGACACAACGCAGGAGUUGUGUGAAGUGACCCGGUCUCAUGGAAAGAGGUCUCCUAGAAAUGUUAUUUCAUGCAUUUUGAUUUUCUGCUAAUGCUUUGGAACAAGCCUCUGCAAAUCAUUCCACAAGCGGCUUUCCAGCAACUCUUCCAAGGGAAAUGUCACCUGUGAAGCCUCCCAAUAGGCACAACAACACAGGGAUUAAUUUUCAGUGGGAACAGGAACCAACCUGAUUCCUUGCAUGAGUCGUGUCCCUUUGCUGUCCCUUGUUCCUGAUCACACAUGCCUCCAGUCACAAACUCCAACAGCCACAGCUCAAAGGUCUACUGCAGGAUGCCCAACACAUUUCUCUGCUGUGGCAAACUAUCUCCAGAAUUAAUAGUGGCCUCACCCGGAAGUCUAUCCCGACAGUAGCUAUGAAGGUCCCAGAGAGGAAGGCUCCAUCUUUGAA